rnacentral:lncRNA from 1 species
AGCUGACAAGAGAUGCAAUCAAGGUGAUUGAAAACUACAUCUGGAUGCUCGAUUGGGCUCUGAAAACCACAGGAUGUUGCUGCGUUAUGGAAUCUCUGCAUCCACUUAAUCAUCAGUGUCCAGCAGGAGAUCACAAAGCUCUAGAGGCAUCGUUGUAUCCAGUUCAUCAUCGGAAACUUCCACAACCACAUUGGAAGGGACCAGUCCUCUUGUGCCAUCUGUCAGCUCUCCCAGAAACCAGCCAUUCUCAUCCACAUCUCCAAAGACAAUAAACAAUACUGUCCAGCAGUCAGAGGAAGCUCACUUUCUGGGUUCUCACUACGACCCUCAAAAGGACUGUAGCUAUGGUGAGCUAAGAAUCUUGGAAUUAUUGCUGAUACUUGUCCUGGAGAAUGCAGGGUGAAGGACAAAGGCUCUGCUGCUGAUUCUCCGCUCUCAGCUUCAGGGCUGUCCUCUGACAGAAAGCAGCACUCAGGACUGUUCCCGUGGACUUCUUUUUUGGCUUUGAGUUCACGCUCCAGGUCUUCCAGAUGACUUUGAAGACCUUUGGUAUCUUGGAUGGUAGAAUGGAAUGGACUGGAACUAUUGUUGAGAUUCUGGUUUGGUUGGGCAGGAGUCUCUCUUGUUGCCUCUCCCAGCUCCGUUCUGCCCUCAUCUCCAGCUGGAACACUCUCUCAGUUGGUAUCAGGAAGAGCUCGUUCUGCUGCUCUUUCUUCUCUCUUGCACACUCUGUGAGAAUGAGUUUCAGAAAGCACUACUCACUGACAGGAAAUAAGGGGAAACUUGAAAGACUUUGCAACGUGAGUCCUGGCAGUGUACUGCCAGCAACUGAUUUGGCCGUCCAGGGUCCUGGCACCACAAAUGCCUCCUUGCCAAAUGCAGCAAUAAAGUGUUUUGGGGAAAAGCCAACUCACAGGUAUUUUUUGCACAUCCAUAACGCAGCACCACAGGCCAACAACAGUGCAGACAGCAGCACAGCUGAGAACAGUACCAUCGCUGCGAUGCGGCGCUUUCGCACAGAUUUGUGAACAGCAGCCUUUGUGCUUUUCCCAGCAUUCAUCCCUGGAAGAAAUGAGACAGUGUCCCACGUUACCUUCACCUGCACUACAGACAAUCUCUCGGUGUGCUUUAUGGACCCAGGAGAUUUUCAUCAGUGGGUACCUCUGUCUCUGGUGUCUAAGCACCAGACAACAAAAAGGAUUGCUUCCACUUCUCGUUGGGUGGGGUGAGGCUGCACCAGCACUGCCCACGUAUUCCUCUGGGCUGAGGGCUGGGGCUCUGCCCUGGGGUCUGGG